ensembl:lncRNA
GGAGUCGUGAGGCCUCUGGGAAAAAGCUCGGGAGAGCGUUGGCUCAUUGAGACUCUGCUGGCCAGCAGCCACCUUUACUGUUGAAAAUCUGCAGUCGUUGGCAAAAGGUCUGUCCUGCAGUCCAUUGAGUUCCUGCCAGUGGAAGACUUAAGGAAAGUACUGCUUCUCCUAAUGGUUGUUGCUACUGCAAGCAGACACGCUGUACCGUCUAGGGCCUGGGUGAAUGGUAAAUAGCCUGAAAGCUUCACUGACACCUCACAUAUGAUAACCUAAUAACACAUCUUUGUUUUUCUCAUAGGUAUUUAAUCUCUGAUACAACAGCGAAGAUACUGCAGUGGUGUCAGCCUAUCUCAGGGCCAAAUUUUAUAUAUAUAUAUAUAUAUUUAUUUAUUUAUUUAUUUUCAGCUCAAGACUGAACAUAAUAAAUUCACUGCAGAGGAGCGUGCUCAUUUAACUGUGUAAAAUACAGACCUUAACAAUUCAUAUUAAGUGAUUCAGUACUUGCAUCUCUGAGGUAGCAAUUUGCUAAUAAAUUUUGCAUACAAAAUAUGGAUCACCCAUUCAUUAUAUUUCAUCCAUUAUUCUAACUACCGUUAUCACUGUAUGGUUUUGUAACUGCUGAUAAAUGCACGAAGGGCACGUUAACAAAUUAAACUGCUUUGCAAUUAAGGUUGGGGCAAGCUGUCUAAUUUGUUGUACUCCAGCUGGGACAAAUCUGUUUAUGUCACUGCUCUUGUGUCAUGUCACCCAAACAUGCCUUCACUGAUACAUAAGGUUGUCAUCUAACAGCUGACACUUAGCUGCAGUUCUUGCUGCUGGCCACUGCUGGACACUUUUAUCUCACUCAUAGUUGUAAUUACUAUGACAAGUGCAGGUUGUUUUGCAGUGACAGCGUUGGUUUUUUUUUCGUGACAGUGUUUAUUAUAUCUGUAAUAUGGCCAAGUCUGGGUCAGGUCCAUAGCAUUGGAAAUGAAAGCCAUUGGUAACCCUGGAGAUAUUAAUUUCAGCAAAAUAAGGUUAAGAAUUUGUAAUGAAAUAAAAUAGGAGGGAGGUAAGGUAAUAGGCAGAGUUAAAAGCACCAGUUCAGACAACAAUGUUUUUGAUGGAACGACUUCUAUGGGCAAAAAAAAGAAAAAGAGAGAAAGAAUAUGAUUACCAGGGAAUUGGAUGCAAGCAUCUGAAAGCUUGUAAAAGACAUACAACUGUUAAAGCCAAAGCAAAUGCUUUUGAUUCUAUCUCAACACAUUCCCUCCCCAAAUUACAUGUUAAAGCUUUCCUAAGAUGCAGCCAUGCGAUUUUUGUGAAUAAACAAUAUGAUAUUAAAAUACAGAGGUUUUUCCUAGAGAUGAAGUAUUUUAAGUCCUGUACCCUUCUAAUUUUACUUCCUUGGCAUCUUCCUUAUUAAGAAACAGAAGUAAUGAAGGCUGUGAGAGUUAAGAGUUUUCAGUUCCAAACACGGUCUCAAGACUGUCGUCAGCCUGUUCUACCAAAAUUGAUGUGCUGGAACUUCAAAAAGGAAGUCUACCUUUCCCCUCAACCCCUUCCAAACAGAGUGGCUAAGGCUCCUUUUCUAACAUGAGCAUUUCAGUGAAUGUUUACAUAUAUUUAGAAAAGUGAAAACUGAAGUGGACUGUUCAGUUUUGUGUUUUUGGAUUACAGGGUAGUAUUUCUCAAUAUUUUGAUAAUAUGCCAGCAUCACAUAAGAUGGAAAAAGUGCCCAUGGAACCAAAAUAAAAACCCGAUCAUUUGUUCAAAGGGGAAACUACACGAGGCUCCCCAGCUCACUCUUACUAAGACAGUGUUCUAGUUAGAAGAAAAUAGAAGGCUGUUUUUGGUGAUGUUAUUUUCAGCUGAAUUGUGUGUUGCCCUUGAUGAUGAAGUUUUGCUGAAAGAAAAAAAAAAGCAGUAACUUAAAAAAAA